AAAAAAAAGUGUUGGGUGUCCCAACCCCUCCCCCCUUCCCGCCCGUCAAUUAAGUCUCAGCUGCAGGGCAUCUGCAUUGUUUCCGAAACCUCAAAAUCAAUAUCGAAAGAAAGGGCCUCAAGUGUUAAUGUUGUGCAAUGACACCGGGCGGGACUACAAAAGCUGUCAAGCUCAUCCUUACUGCAACCCAGAGUAGGCUCUGGGAGGAGAACGAGGAGAGGGAGAGGAGAGGGAGGAGGACAGCGAGGAGAACGCUGGGGCUUGCUGCAAGGGCAGAUCCUCGGGUGCGCGGGCGCGGGGGCUGCCGGGAAGGCCGCCUACAAUUUCCCCGGAAGUUUGCGGGGCUGCUUUGGGUCCUUCAGUUUGCACGCCUCUGACGCCGCCCCGACCUGGCCAGGGGUCUCAGAGCAGUAUUUAGUGGUCAAACAGGCACAAGGGGUCUCAGGGCAGUAUUUGGCAGCGGUCAAACAUGUUCGGAAGAACGCUUCUCUGCCCGCGUGGGACGUGAGGUGACUGGUGAAGCAAAGCACUCCUUAGCAGGCAAAGUAGGCCUUUACGGCAAGUAUGGGGGGGUGCCUGCCACCAGGGACUCCUUGCAGAUAUGGCCCCGCAUCCUUCAGGACACCUUAGAAGCCAGUAGCCACUUGACCCUGACGCUGGAUCUCCACCAGCCGAUAUCUGCGAGAAGAGCUAGAGAUAACUGGGAUCUACAUCUCUCUGGGAGAAGCCCCAGCAAAUGGCUCCUGGUGCAGAAGCAGAACUACUCCACCUUCCUUGCCCCUGGUCCAGGCUGCUCUGAGGGAGUAUUAGAAUCUCUCCUCAGGAAGACUAGACUUCUACAAAACCUCUCUUGUGUCUCAGUGGCCAAAUCAUCACUUUCUGGGUAAUACCCUACCACGACCAAGAAGAAAUGGUGUUAGUAUGUGGCCUCUGCUGAUUCCACAGACAGAACUCAGGUCUGUCUGCAUAAAACCCAAUGUACAGAUGGGCAAGUCUUCUCGCAAGUCCUUUGGCAUAUGGUGCUGGAUCCCACAAUUCCUAGAGGAUUUUCUGUACUUUGCAACUGAAGAAAAACAUCAAAACACUAGGUCUUGAAGGCUCCUAUGCACUCCUCCAGAAAUACCACAAUAAGCUGCUUGGAAAAAUACAAGAAAGAAACUGAUAAUUCUCGCACUCUACAUUCAGUGAUGAAUGAAUAUCUGACAUAUUCAAUCUCCAUUUUCAUUAAGAGAUGAUCCCACCCUUCCCUGGCUUUGGGGAUUUUGAGGUCUUCCUCUCCCCAUCCCUGAUUGGAGAAGAAUUCAGUAGUUCUGAAAAAAAUGGCUUUAUGAGAGAAGGGGUCUGGACAGGAUGAGAAGACAAUGCAAGUCUGACCCUGAGUGCAAGAGAAAGAGAAACUGUAAUACUGUGCAAUCUAAGGCAGGUUUGGCGAAGCCUUUGGGAAGCCUUCAAGCCAAAGCCGCACAGACUCUAACCAGGUCCUGAGAAGUCAGGACCUUCUGGGACAGAAGAAAGCUUUGGGACAAGACUCAGUGGAAGAGCAACAUCCUGGCACCCAGAGAAGAAGAGGCUCUGUUGUGCCUGCCUCAAGUUAGGAGAAGCCCAUGCAUAGUUGGUCCUUACAGUGGUCACUAAUGCAGAAACAGUGGCCCAAAUUGGAGACAGUAAUUGUUUAUCAGAUCAUAAACCACAUAGCCAUGAAAAGACUCCAGAAGAGUCAAGAGAAUCUUUAAGAAGAAAGCUGGAGGACUUACUCCAUCAUACAAGAGAGACAGAGCAUGAGCAGGGAAGUAGCAGAGAGAAAGGGAGACACAGAA